AACCAAAGACGAAGAACUUGAUUUUCCUCCAUUCUACUGCUCUACGAAGUUUCUUUAAAAUUAUUACCAUAUACCAGCAGUAUAAACUUGGAUUCAACGAUACCUAUGUAUUAUAGCUUCUUCAAAUGAUCCUAUUAAGAUAGAUGGACGACAUGAGAUCUACAAAAGAGCACUAGCAGAGUCAAGGAAUGUUCCCGUUAGAGAAGAUCGAGGUGAAGGCUUUGGUCUUAAUGGUAUUAAAGACCCAGACGAGUCCAACGAGGAUAUUUAAUUACAAAUCUUUCAUAGGACUAUUAUAUAUAGCAUAAAAAUACAAAUAUACAUUUUUAUUUGUCAUGUUUACUUAUGUGUGGAAAUGUUUAUAUAGAUCAAUGAUGCAGCAAUAAA